rnacentral:rRNA from 1 species
UGCGAAGGGGGCUAGCGUUGCUCGGAAUCACUGGGCGUAAAGCGCACGUAGGCGGCUUUUUAAGUCAGGGGUGAAAUCCUGGAGCUCAACUCCAGAACUGCCUUUGAUACUGAGAAGCUUGAGUCCGGGAGAGGUGAGUGGAACUGCGAGUGUAGAGGUGAAAUUCGUAGAUAUUCGGAAGAACACCAGUGGCGAAGGCGACUCACUGGCCCGAUACUGACGCUGAGGCGCGAAAGCGUGGGGAGCAAACAGG